UACAGAGGUCUCAAGCGUUGUUCGGAUUCAUUGGGCGUAAAGGGUGUGUAGGUGGCGCGCUAAGUCGGGUGUGAAAUUUCGGAGCUUAACUCCGAAACUGCAUUCGAUACUGGCGUGCUUGAGGACUGGAGAGGAGACUGGAAUUCAUGGUGUAGCAGUGAAAUGCGCAGAUAUCAGGAAGAACACCCGUGGCGAAAGCGGCUCUCUGGAACGGUACUGACGCUGAGACGCGAAAGCGUGGGGAGCGAACAGG
rnacentral:rRNA from 1 species